GCAAAUGCCCGAAAGGGUGACUAUGCGACGCCGCGUGAGCGAUGAAGUCCUUCGGGACGUAAAGCUCUGUCGGGUGGGGAUGUAAUUUUUCGUACCUUAACAGGGUUGGUAAUUUGACCGUACCACCAGAGGAAGCCACGGCUAACUCCGUGCCAGCAGCCGCGGUAAUACGGAGGUGGCAAGCGUUGUUCGGAUUUAUUGGGUGUAAAGGGCAUGUAGGUGUCCUAGUAAGUCCUGGCUGAAAUCCUUCGGCUCAACCGAAGAACGUGUCAGGAAACUGCUGGGAUUGAGUACGGAAGAGGAGAACGGAAUUCCCGGUGUAAGGGUGAAAUCUGUAGAUA
rnacentral:rRNA from 1 species